CCUACGGGUGGCAGCAGUGAGGAAUAUUGGUCAAUGGGCGAGAGCCUGAACCAGCCAAGUCGCGUGAGGGAGUACUGCCCUAUGGGUUGUAAACCUCUUUUGUCGGGGAGCAAAAGCCGGACGUGUCCGGCUGUGAGAGUACCCGAAGAAAAAGCAUCGGCUAACUCCGUGCCAGCAGCCGCGGUAAUACGGAGGGGGCAAGCGUUGUUCGGAAUUACUGGGCGUAAAGGGAGUGUAGGCGGUUUAGUAAGAUAGUGGUGAAAUCCCAGGGCUUAACUUUGGAAUUGCCAUUAUAACUAUUAGACUAGAAUUACAGAGAGGAAAGUGGAAUACCCAGUGUAGAGGUGAAAUGCGUAGAUAUUGGGUAGAACACCAGUGGCGAAGGCGACUAUCUGGCUGUACAUUGACGCUGAGGCUCGAAAGCAUGGGGAUCAAACAGGAUUAGAUACCCGGGUAGUC
rnacentral:rRNA from 1 species